GCUUAUUUAGUUAUACUAGUUUUUCUGUCAACACAUAGUUAUGUUAUUUCCUAUGCAGUUAAAAAAAUGAAUAUCUUUUUUAUAAAACAGAUUUUGAUUUCCUUAACAAGUCAUUUAACCAAUAUCUUUCUCUUUUUUAGAGAGAGAAGUUCUCACUCAUCUCUAUCGUGUUCCGAACUUUAAUUUUUUAGAGGAUAUGAGAUUAUUAAAUCUUUUUGUUGUAACAUAAUUUGAUAAAUCGAUCAAUUUAUCAUUUAUGCCCUUCGGAUUUUUCCUUCCGUCGUCUUAACGAUCUUUUUUUUUCUUUCAAUCUUAAAUCGGAUCUGUUCUUCAAGUUUCUUCUUGUUAUGUCUAAUUUAGGAUUGACGCUAAUAAAGGUUUCGAUGGAGAUUGCAGAGUAGCUCUCUUUAACUUCAUAUCAAUUCCAGCCAAUUUCCUCUUAGUUGGAAACAAUUAUUCUUGAGUGGGUAAUGUUAUGAUUGCCAAACUUUCAAUCUUUAAUGGACGGAAAGAUCUCCAGCUUGAAUAUACCAGAGACGUCAAGGCAUUACAUUCAGAUACUUGAUGAAGAUUGAAAAAAUAGAAGAAGGUGAUCAAAGGGAAGCUACUCGAUUUGGUAUCAGAGAUUGAAGCACGGUUGCCCUUAUCGACGGGACACCAACCUUUGUAUGACAGAGAUAAGAGAUAACAUGGAAGCGAUUUCGUAAGGACUGCGGUGGUGAAGCUUCUUGACAACCAAAUCUGCCGCCUCAUGCAUGAAGAACAUGUGUAACACACUUGUUUCGUGACAUGAGGUGAAUACAAAUCGUUUCCCAAACGAUUUUAUUUAAUACUCUAUCUGUUUCAAAAUACAUGAAGUUUUAAGAUUGUUCACAACUAUUAAGAAACUUGUUUUUUAUCUUAAAAAUAUCAUUAAAAUAUAAAUUAAAAGUUAUUCUACCAAUCACAAAACAGACUACAAAAUAUCAUUGGUAC
rnacentral:lncRNA from 1 species